UACGGAGGGUGCAAGCGUUGCUCGGAAUCACUGGGCGUAAAGGGUGCGUAGGCGGGUCUUUAAGUCAGGGGUGAAAUCCUGGAGCUCAACUCCAGAACUGCCUUUGAUACUGAAGAUCUUGAGUCCGGGAGAGGUGAGUGGAACUGCGAGUGUAGAGGUGAAAUUCGUAGAUAUUCGCAAGAACACCAGUGGCGAAGGCGGCUCACUGGCCCGGUACUGACGCUGAGGCACGAAAGCGUGGGGAGCAAACAGG
rnacentral:rRNA from 1 species